rnacentral:tRNA from 1 species
AGGCGCGUAACUCAAUGGUAGAGUGACUGCCUUACAAGCAGUAGGUUUUCGGUUCGAGUCCGGACGUGCCUA